UACGGAAGGCAGCAGUGGGGAAUAUUGCACAAUGGGCGCAAGCCUGAUGCAGCCAUGCCGCGUGUAUGAAGAAGGCCUUCGGGUUGUAAAGUACUUUCAGUCGUGAGGAAGGUGUUAAGGUUAAUAACCUUAGCAAUUGACGUUAGCGACAGAAGAAGCACCGGCUAACUCCGUGCCAGCAGCCGCGGUAAUACGGAGGGUGCGAGCGUUAAUCGGAAUUACUGGGCGUAAAGGGCACGCAGGCGGUUAAUUAAGUUGGAUGUGAAAUCCCCGGGCUUAACCUGGGAAUGGCAUUCAAGACUGGUUAGCUAGAGUCUUGUAGAGGGGGUAGAAUUCCGAUGUGUAGCGGUGAAAUGCGUAGAGAUGUGGAGGAAUACCGGUGGCGAAGGCGGCCCCUGGACAAAGGACUGACGCUCGAUGUGCGAAAGCGUGGGGAGCGAAAC
rnacentral:rRNA from 1 species